CUCUAAUACAAUUUUCAGACUAUAUAUUUCAAGGAAUAUAUACAGCAAAAGUAUUAGUAUUAAAGAGAUUUAUUCCUUCCAAGAAAAAAAGGUAAAAAAGAAUCAAUAAAAUAGAUAUUAGUAAAAUAAAAUUGAAUAUAUUUAUUUUAU
rnacentral:ncRNA from 12 species